UACAGAGGGUGCGAGCGUUGUCCGGAAUCACUGGGCGUAAAGGGCGCGUAGGCGGUCGUGACAAGUCACUUGUGAAAUCUCCGGGCUUAACUCGGAACGGUCAAGUGAUACUGUCGGACUAGAGUACAGAAGGGGCAACUGGAAUUCUCGGUGUAGCGGUGAAAUGCGUAGAUAUCGAGAGGAACACCUGCGGCGAAGGCGGGUUGCUGGGCCGACACUGACGCUGAUGCGCGAAAGCCAGGGGAGCGAACGGG
rnacentral:rRNA from 1 species